UACGUAGGGUGCGAGCGUUAAUCGGAAUUACUGGGCGUAAAGUGUGCGCAGGCGGCCGAGCAAGUCGAGUGUGAAAGCCCCGAGCUUAACUUGGGAACUGCGCUCGAAACUACUUGGCUAGAGUGUGGCAGAGGGAGGUGGAAUUCCACGUGUAGCGGUGAAAUUCGUAGAUAUUGGGAAGAACACCGAUGGCGAAGGCAGCCAUCUGGACCGACACUGACGCUGAGGCGCGAAAGCGUGGGGAGCAAACAGG
rnacentral:rRNA from 1 species